GACGAACGCUGGCGGCGUGCUUAACACAUGCAAGUCGAACGGACAGACAGAGAGCUUGCUCUCUUGAAGUUAGUGGCGAACGGGUGAGUAACGCGUAAUCAACCUGCCCUUCAGAGGGGGAUAACAACGGGAAACCGUUGCUAAUACCGCGUACGAUUCAUGAACGGCAUCGUUUAUGAAUGAAAGGUGGCCUCUAUGUAUAAGCUAUCGCUGAAGGAGGGGAUUGCGUCUGAUUAGCUAGUUGGAGGGGUAACGGCCCACCAAGGCAAUGAUCAGGAGCCGGUCUGAGAGGAUGAACGGCCACAUUGGGACUGAGACACGGCCCAAACUCCUACGGGAGGCAGCAGUGGGGAAUCUUCCGCAAUGGACGAAAGUCUGACGGAGCAACGCCGCGCGAGUGAUGAAGGUCUUCGGAUUGUAAAGCUCUGUUAAUCGGGACGAAAGAGUUCUGCGUGAAUAAUGCAGAAAAGUGACGGUACCGGAAUAGAAAGCCACGGCUAACUACGUGCCAGCCGCCGCAGUAA
rnacentral:rRNA from 1 species